rnacentral:rRNA from 1 species
CGAGAGGUGAAAAGGGCCCGCGAGGGUCUUGCUGAAGGAGGGGUCCGCGUCCGAUUAGCUAGUUGGUAGGGUAAUGGCCUACCAAGGCAACGAUCGGUAGCCGGCCUGAGAGGGUGAUCGGCCACACUGGAACUGAGACACGGUCCAGACUCCUACGGGAGGCAGCAGUGGGGAAUUUUGCGCAAUGGGGGAAACCCUGACGCAGCAACGCCGCGUGGAGGAUGAAGGUCUUUGGAUUGUAAACUCCUGUCAGCGGGGAAAAAGGGACCUGACCUCAUACGUCAGGGACUUGAUUGUACCCGCAGAGGAAGCCCCGGCUAACUCUGUGCCAGCCAGCGCGGUAAUACAGA